rnacentral:rRNA from 1 species
UUCCGGUUGAUNCCUGCCGGAGGCUACUGCUAUUGGAAUUUCGACUAANGCCAUGCGAGUCAAGGUGUCUUCGGAACGCCGGCAAACGGCUCAGUAACACGUAGGUAAUCUACCCUCAGGACUGAGAUAACCCCGGGAAACUGGGGCUAAUACCAGAUAGAUAAAAGAUACUGGAAUGUUCUUUUAUCCAAAGCUUUUGUGCCUGAGGAUGAGCCUGCGCCCGAUUAGGUAGUUGGUGGGGUAAUGGCCCACCAAGCCUGCGAUCGGUACGGGCAGUGGGAGCUGUAGCCCGGAGUUGGGGACUGAGACAAGGCCCCAGGCCCUACGGGGCGCAGCAGGCGCGAAACCUCUGCAAUGCGGGAAACCGUGACAGGGGGAUUCCAAGUGCUCAUGCAUUGCAUGGGCUGUUCUUUGGUCUAAGUAACCAGAGGAGUAAGGGCUGGGCAAGACCGGUGCCAGCCGCCGCGGUAAUACCGGCAGCUCGAGUGGUAGCCGCGAUUAUUGGGCCUAAAACGUUCGUAGCCGGAUAAGUAAGUCUUUGGUUAAAUCCUACGACUCAACCGUGGGAAAUCUAGAGAUACUGCUUGUCUUGAGACCGGGAGAGGUUGGAGGUACUCCCAGGGUAGGGGUGAAAUCCUGUAAUCCUGGGGGGACCACCUGUGGCGAAGGCGUCCAACUGGAACGGCUCUGACGGUGAGGGACGAAACCUAGGGGAGCGAGCCGGAUUAGAUACCCGGGUAGUCCUAGGCGUAAAUGAUGCGAGUUAAGUGUGGGGGCAUCUACGAGAUGGCCCUGUGCUGUAGGGUAGCCGUUAAACUCGCUGCCUGGGGAGUACGGUCGCAAGGCUGAAACUUUAAAGGAAUUGGCGGGGGAGCACCACAAGAGGUGGAGGCUGCGGGUUCAAUUGGAUUCAACGCCGGG